UACGUAGGAGGCAAGCGUUGUCCGGAGUUACUGGGCGUAAAGCGCACGCAGGCGGUUCAGUCAGUCUGUAGGGACAGGGCACAGCUCAACUGUGUCGGGCUUACGGAAACUGCUGAACUUGAGGGCUUCAGAGGGAUGGGGAAUUCCGGGUGGAGUGGUGAAAUGCGUAGAGAUCCGGAAGAACACCAAAGGCGAAGGCACCAUCCUGGGGAGUCACUGACGCUCGGGUGCGAAAGCCAGGGGAGCGAACGGG
rnacentral:rRNA from 1 species